rnacentral:rRNA from 1 species
GCCGUAACUAUAACGGUCCUAAGGUAGCGAAAUUCCUUGUCGGGUAAGUUCCGACCCGCACGAAAGGCGUAACGAUUUGGGCACUGUCUCAACGAGAGACUCGGGGAAAUCAUAGUACCUGUGAAGAUGCAGGUUACCCGCGACAGGACGGAAAGACCCCGUGGAGCUUUACUGUAGCCUGAUAUUGAAAUUCGGCACAGCUUGU